UACGUAGGGCGCAAGCGUUGUCCGGAAUUAUUGGGCGUAAAGAGCUCGUAGGCGGUUUGUCGCGUCUGCUGUGAAAUCCCGAGGCUCAACCUCGGGCUUGCAGUGGGUACGGGCAGACUAGAGUGCGGUAGGGGAGACUGGAAUUCCUGGUGUAGCGGUGGAAUGCGCAGAUAUCAGGAGGAACACCGAUGGCGAAGGCAGGUCUCUGGGCCGAUACUGACGGCUGGAGGCAACGGAAGGCCAGGGGAGCAAACGGG
rnacentral:rRNA from 1 species